rnacentral:rRNA from 1 species
UAGCGCCUCGUGAAUUCAUCUCCGGGGGUAGAGCACUGUUUCGGCUAGGGGGCCAUCCCGGCUUACCAACCCGAUGCAAACUGCGAAUACCGGAGAAUGUUAUCACGGGAGACACACGGCGGGUGCUAACGUCCGUCGUGAAGAGGGAAACAACCCAGACCGCCAGCUAAGGUCCCAAAGUCAUGGUUAAGUGGGAAACGAUGUGGGAAGGCCCAGACAGCCAGGAUGUUGGCUUAGAAGCAGCCAUCAUUUAAAGAAAGCGUAAUAGCUCACUGGUCGAGUCGGCCUGCGC